rnacentral:rRNA from 1 species
GACGAACGCUGGCGGCGUGCUUAACACAUGCAAGUCGAACGGAAAGGCCCUGCUUUUGUGGGGUGCUCGAGUGGCGAACGGGUGAGUAACACGUGAGUAACCUGCCCUUGACUUUGGGAUAACUUCAGGAAACUGGGGCUAAUACCGGAUAGGAGCUCCUGCUGCAUGGUGGUGGUUGGAAAGUUUCGGCGGUUGGGGAUGGACUCGCGGCUUAUCAGCUUGUUGGUGGGGUAGUGGCUUACCAAGGCUUUGACGGGUAGCCGGCCUGAGAGGGUGACCGGCCACAUUGGGACUGAGAUACGGCCCAGACUCCAACGGGAGGCAGCAGUGGGGAAUAUUGCACAAUGGGCGGAAGCCUGAUGCAGCAACGCCGCGUGCGGGAUGACGGCCUUCGGGUUGUAAACCGCUUUCGCCUGUGACGAAGCGUGAGUGACGGUAAUGGGUAAAGAAGCACCGGCUAACUACGUG